GUUGGACUAAUUAAGAUGCUGAUCAUGUACUUGUGAAAUGAAUUUUCUACAAGAAAUAAAUUCGCUUUACAAGUUGGGAAGUUAAUUAUCAGGAAAAUUGGUGUUUGAAGAAAAGUAGAAAACGGCGCUACAUGUCAGAACCAAGUAGACCUUUUCUCACAUUUCAAAACUAAUUUUGACAAACCCAACAGCGCUGAAAUAAAAAACUGUUGGCCUCUUAUUUCCGCUGCUUAUAAAUAUGGCUACCUCUUCUUCCAUCCAAAACUCUCAACAGAAACAACUCAUAUUAUAUCCUCUUUUCUUAUUACCACUCUACUCUUUGGCGUAUCAUUUGGACAAUAAUGGCUCGCUCUUUUUCCAACGUUAAGCUCUUUUCUGAUAGAGUCUCUCUUGUUGUAUGCAGUACGAUUCUUUUGCUUUCCAAAAGUUAAAAGAAAAGUUGAUUUUUGAUUGAGAUGAGGCAAAAAGAUCUUUUUUUUUUUUUGCUACAUUUAGUAGGAAGGGAUAUGCAGUGGCAGCGACAGAAAGCAAAGGAAUUAGAGAAGAUGGUGGGGUGAGCAACAUGA